rnacentral:rRNA from 1 species
AGGGUUUGAUCCUGGCUCAGGGUUAACGCUGGCGGCGUGCCUUACACAUGCAAGUCGAACGGGGCAUACAGCGAUGUAUGCUUAGUGGCGAACGGGUGAGGAAGACGCAGGGACCUACCGAGCAGAGGGGGAUACCCGCUGGAAACGGCGGAUAAAACCGCAUACGCCCGUGUGAAGAGCGCGGGGAAAAGCGCUACGGUGUUACUGGUCGAGGGACCUGCGGCCCAUCAGGUAGUUGGGGAGGUAACGGCUCACCAAGCCGACGACGGGUAUCUGGCGUGAGAGCGCGAACAGGCACAAGGACACUGAGAGACGGGUCCUACUCCUACGGGAGGCAGCAGUGGGGAAUUUUGGACAAUGGGCGCAAGCCUGAUCCAGCGACGCCGCGUGUCGGACGGAGUCCUUCGGGAUGUAAACGACUUUUGAUGGAGACGAAAGGGCAGCUCAGGGAAUGGGGCUGCGAUGACGGUAUCCAAUGAAUAAGCCCCGGCUAACUACGUGCCAGCAGCCGCGGUAAGACGUAGGGGGCAAGCGUUACCCGGAAUUACUGGGCGUAAAGGGAGCGUAGGCGGGAGGUCAAGUCCGGUGUGAAAGUCCCUGGCUCAACCAGGGGAUAGGGCUGGAAACUGACAAUCUUGAGUACAGCAGAGGAAGAGGGAAUUACCGGUGUAGGGGUGAAAUCCGUAGAGACCGGUAGGAAGGCCAGUGGCGAAGGCGCUUUUCUGGGCUGUUACUGACGCUGAGGCUCGAAAGCCAGGGGAGCAAACCGGAUUAGAUACCCGGGUAGUCCUGGCCGUAAACGAUGCUCACUAGGUGUGGGGCACAGAGCGUGUUCUGCGCUGAAGCAAACGCAAUAAGUGAGCCGCCUGGGGAGUACGUCCGCAAGGAUGAAACUCAAAGGAAUUGAC